ACCCGCUGAACUUAAGCAUAUCAAUAAGCGGAGGAAAAGAAACCAACCGGGAUUACCUCAGUAACGGCGAGUGAAGCGGUAACAGCUCAAAUUUGAAAUCUGGCUCCUGCGGAGUCCGAGUUGUAAUUUGUAGAAGAUGCUUUGGGAGGGAGGCUCGGCCUAAGUUCCUUGGAACAGGACAUCAGAGAGGGUGAGAAUCCCGUAUGUGGCCGUGGCCUCCGCCCGUGUAAAGCUCUUUCGACGAGUCGAGUUGUUUGGGAAUGCAGCUCAAAAUGGGUGGUAAAUUUCAUCUAAAGCUAAAUAUUGGCCAGAGACCGAUAGCGCACAAGUAGAGUGAUCGAAAGAUGAAAAGCACUUUGGAAAGAGAGUUAAACAGUACGUGAAAUUGUUGAAAGGGAAGCGCUUGCACCCAGACUUGGGCGUCGUCGAUCAUCCGAGGUUCUCCUCGGUGCACGCGGCGAGGCACAGGCCAGCAUCGGUUUGGAUGGUUGGAGAAAGGCUCUAGGAACGUAGCUCUCUUCGGGGAGUGUUAUAGCCUAGGGCGUAAUGCAGCCCAUCGGGACCGAGGACCGCGCCUUCGGGCUAGGAUGCUGGCGUAAUGGUUGCAAGCGACCCGUCUUGAAACACGGACCAAGG
rnacentral:rRNA from 1 species